UNCAAAGCAACUAUGUUGAUGGUAUGGAUUC
rnacentral:piRNA from 1 species